rnacentral:rRNA from 1 species
UACGGGGGGGGCAAGCGUUGUUCGGAAUUACUGGGCGUAAAGGGCUCGUAGGCGGCCAACUAAGUCAAACGUGAAAUCCCUCGGCUUAACCGGGGAACUGCGCUUGAUACUGGAUGGCUUGAGUUUGGGAGAGGGAUGCGGAAUUCCAGGUGUAGCGGUGAAAUGCGUAGAUAUCUGGAGGAACACCGGUGGCGAAGGCGGCAUCCUGGACCAACACUGACACUGAGGAGCGAAAGCCAGGGGAGCAAACGGG